rnacentral:lncRNA from 1 species
AAGAAAGCAGGCUGAGCAAAUUACUGGGACCAAGCCAAGAAGGAGCACUCACUCCCUGUGACUUCUCAAUUAGCCAGUGCCAACAACUUCCUGCCCUGACUGCCUUGGAUGAUGGAAAAACUGUAAGAUGAAACAAAUCCUUCCCUCCUCAGCUUCUUUUGGUGUUGUUCACAACAGCAACAGAAACCCUAACUAAGACAUAACUUGGUACCAGGUCUUCAUCACUGUGCACCCUCUUCCUCUACUUCCAGCUCCUACAUACACCAGCCUCACCUCACAGCACCUUCACACACCAACAAGGUGUGAGACUCAGCCUCAAGUGCCGUGGGCUCCAUCAGCCUUCAACUGCCACCAUCUGCACACUGGCUGGUAGUGGAAUUGGUCUGAAUAAGAGCUGGUGGGAUCCUGUCUGGCUCAGAACGAGUCCAUAACAAAGAUUCUCAUUAUCGAACUUUGUCCUCAGUGAGGGCAAGUGGGUCAUCACCGCCAGACAAUAGCAACCCCUCUGCUGAGAGGGCUGAGGGAGCUCAGAGCACCAAGGCGAAGAGUGCUGGCCAGAGGCCUCGGCGCUACUUGGCACAAAUAGCUGUGGUGUUUGUGCCUGCCCUACCUGUGGGCCUCUUGCAUGACUCCACCAACAGCUCCCACUCACAGCCUGGGCCUUUGCUCCCUCUCUCCUGUCUAACUCUCCCCAGCCUUGAUUCUGCAGUGGAGGCAGUGAGGGCCUCCCGCACGGCCAGUAUUGUUUCCCACACAGCAAGCAGGCUUCAGCAUGUGACCAGUGAACAAGAAGAAGAGUGAAGGAAUGGCAUGGGCUGAAUCACACACAGCUCAGGUUUGCUGGAAUGUCUGGUGCCACUCAUGGAGAAUAAGCAGAUUUACCUCCCUGGAAAGGCACAGCAGGAAAAUGUAAUGGAAUGAGAGGAAAGAGGCAAGGAGCUACAGGAAGCAGGCUGCCUCAUGGACUGAUAAGCUGACCUCAGAGACCAGGGAGGGAUUUACCUCUCAAACAUGUGCGGCAUGUGCCUGCAAUUCUAGCCCUUAGAAAGCUAAGGUACAAAGAUCCUGAUUUUAAGGCCAGCAACAAAGUAACCCCUCCAAACAAACCCAGGCCUUGGGUGUGGCUUAGUGGCAGAAUGCUAGCCUGGCGUGCACCAGGCCUACCCCCAGAACAUUUGAAAACAAGGAAUAAGCUUCUUAAGGACCAACAAUGUUCAGUGGGUAAAGGGCACUUGUCAUCAGACCUAACCACCUCAGUGUGAUGUAGACAUGCACCCUAACAUCCACACUCAACAGAAUGUUAAAAAGCAUGUAGCACACAGGUAUGUAUUCAGACAAAACACCCAUACCUGUAAG